UCCCCUGCCCCCUAUCCAACCCCUCCUACUCCCCAUCCCAUUGGGGCUUGUCUACAGUACUGCGGGAGAUCGAUCUAAGUUACUUAACUUCAGAUAUGUGAAAGGCAUAGCUGAAGUCGACAUACCUCGAUCUCCUCGCUGCAGUGUCUUCACUGCAGUAAGUCGACAGCUGACACUCUCCCGUCGACAGGAGAGCACUCCGCGGUCGAUUUAUCGCGUCUGGAUGUGAUAAAUCGACCCCUGCUGGAUCGAUCACUGCUUGUUGAUCUGGCGGGUAGUGUAGACAAGCCCUCAGUGGGCUACUGUCCCUGUGUCUCAAGCUGAUUUCAGGGUCUCCAGUGGGAUAUUCCCCCACCCAUGUCUCAGGGACACAAUGAGACGAGAUCCUGCCCCCACCUCGAGCUAGGACUCCCACAAGUCAGGUGCCAGGUGGCUGGGAAGAUGGGAGUCCUCCCAGUGGUGCUGAAAGCCAGUGGUCCCUACUCCAAACUUUUUACCUCACCCCCUUUACUGCUGUCCAUGUCCUCCCCUCCCCCCAGAGCUGGGGCCAGGAGCAGGGCUGUGGCUGGGGUGGGGGACGUGGACAGGGGUAAGGGGCCAAGGCUGGGACCCCGCCUGUGGACUCCAGGUGAAGGGCCAUGAACAGAGCCCUGGGUAUGGGCCCACAGCAGCCAGGAGCUGAGCCCCUGGGUGUGGGGCCAGCGGAAGAUGGUACCCCAUGUCCAGAGCCCCGUGUGCAGGGCUGACGGCAGCAGGGGUCCCGCGUGUGGGGCUGGGGACAGAGCCUCAGGCGUAGGUCCAGCAGCAGCUGGGACCUGUGUGCGGGCUGGGAACAGUGCCCCGGGCGCAAGUCCAGCAGCAGCCAGGGUCCUGCUUGCGGGUUGGGAACAGUGCCCCGGGCGCAGGUCCAGCAGCAGCCAGGGUCCUGUGUGUGGGGCUGGCAAGGCGGGAACAGUCGGGACCACAGGUGCAGGGCCAGGAGCAGAGCCCCAGGUGCUGGACUGGCAGGCCCAGGACCCUGGGUGCAGUGGGGCAGGCAGGACCCCACACAAAAACUGGGGGUGCUGCAGCACCCCUGCGUCCCUAGUUCCGGUGCCUAUGAGUCCUCCAGGGUCAGAGAGACCUGGAUUACUAAGGCUAGAGAAGCUUUCAUUCUCGGUGGCUGUUGGGGCUGACCGCAAGUUACCUUAGCCUGUUGUUACAGAAUGGUUGGGGGGGGGGGGGGGUGAGAGCUAGUAGUGAACUGGCUUUGACUGGCCAGGCUGGCUUGCAGCCACUCGACUGGAUAAACAAGAAAAGAGAUAAGGAGGGCCUGUGAGGGUUAAGUGUGGGGGGAAUAGAAAUCAGUAGUGUUUCCUGCCAGAGCCUGCUUGUGGAUGUAUACACCCCCUGAGGAAGAGAUGAUAAAAACAACUAUGAGAAUUGCUUUAGACGAACAGUCUCACGUGCUGACCUAGGCCUUGUGAAUGCCCAGGAAUUCCUCCUCGCUGGAGCAGCGCCUGCUAUGAGCCCUCAAGGACAAGGCUGGAGGGCCCGGGACUGUCCGUAGCAGAAGGGGCAUAAGCACUAAUUCUUGCUUGCUUGGUUGCUGGAAAGCACGUAUUUAGUAACGCGUGAAGGCUGGGAAGCUUAUUAUACUUUGGCAAUAAAACUGGUUGUACUUAUA